ensembl:lincRNA 1700022E09Rik RIKEN cDNA 1700022E09 gene
AAGUGAGGUCAUAGAAGAGUAAAACUUACUGCCAGGAAAUUACAGCUGCCUCAGGUCUCCAGCAGAAGAUGUAGCCCAGAUCAAAGGUGUGCGCUACCACACUUUUAAUCUCAGGUGACCUUGAACUCAGAGAUCUGUCUUAAUCUUCUGGAAUUCAUAGCCACCAUGGCUCAAGAUCUCCAUACCAAGAUCCAGGAAUAAAAGCACGGAAUGUCAUUUAUAAAUCAAAGAAUAAAAUCUUGCUACAAAUAGCACAAUGUAAAUACAUUUCUCAAUAGGAGGUACCUUCACAAGUUCAAGGCCCAUGUCAGCUCUCAUAACAGACACAGGAGGAAGCAUAAGAUAAACAGCGCUGUAAGUGCUCAGAUAGUAAAUAAAAGUAUGUAC